rnacentral:rRNA from 1 species
CACCCGUUCCCAUUCCGAACACGGAAGUUAAGCUCUUCAGCGCCGAUGGUAGUUGGGACUUUGUCCCUGUGAGAGUAGGACGUCGCCAAGC